GCUGCCUCCUCUCCAGGCUUCCUGCACUUCCUUUGCUGACAGGGUCCCAUCAGCCGGGCUGGAGGCAGGCUCAGCUGAUGUUACAAAGCGCUGCUGUCCAAAAGAAAAAAAGACAAAAGGCAAACCAGAAAGGAGCUAUUUGUUGCCAGGCUGAAUUCCUCACAGGCGGAGGCAGGAUUCCUCUUGUUCCCAGAAAGGUGCAGAAAAUGCGCCCCGUACAUUCAUGUCUAUGACCAGGCUAUUGCAGGUCAGCGUGACUCACAAUCGUUACCCAGGUGUCUUCAGCUGGUUGGGAUUUUCCCCUGAGAGCAACCUGAGAAUGCUGCUUGCCGUCACAGGCCUUUGCUCCUUCCAGGAAACUCCACAGACCCAUUUAGCUUCCUCCUUUCUAGGACAUGGCCCGGGUUAACUGCCAAGAGGAUGAGCAGUGUAAGCCGUUCCUCAGCAAAUGCCAAUCCCCCUAAGAAAUGUGGAUUCCAGUGGGAUUUAGGCCCAAGUGCUGUUCUCAAGAGCACUGAAGUUCAGGGGUUCAGCAGCGAGACAAGAGCAGGCAGCUUGGCAGGCCUCCACCAUCUCCAGCACUCACCUGCCUUGCAAAUUGCUCUGCUUCCUCUAGGCCUUGGAUGAACUGCUGCUCUUGACCUGCGGCCUUCUCCUGUUACCCAUGAGGCUGGCACCUGAGGCAUUUGUGAGGAGGUCUAGAACAAAAUGACACAGGAGAAAUCCACAGAACCUGCGCUUGGGAUCGUUUGCCCCGUUUGGUGCUUGCAAGUGUCCGCAGCAGACGUGGAGUUGGCAGUUCAGUCAGCUAUGCGGUCCAGAAAGGAAAAGGCUCCGUUAGCUGAGGGAAACCAAUUUACUCAGCACCUGCAGGCCAGAAAUGAGGGUGCAGCAAAUGACUGAAAAACACAGUAUAUGAUACAGCACAUAUCUUCAAUGGGCAUGCCAGAGAUUUCAAACCCACAUCCAUGCAGGAAUGUGACCUUGCAGCUUUCGCACAAGCCAAAGGGAGUGGCUUUUUGCAAAGACACCAGGAGCUCAGUGUGGGACACAGAACUUUUUCAAGAGCCGGACUGACCUGGGAGCUGGUGGAAGCGGAGAGAAGGGGCAAAUGCGCCCAUGGGUGCACCCACACUCUGAGGGCUGCUCCAAGGGCACCCCCUGCCAUGCACAGGACAUGGGCACUGCCCCGUGCAGAGGACAUGUCCCUGCCAUAUUGACAACACCAACACUGCUCCAGUGUCAUGCAAACACACAUGGGUGGUUUGUUACUUGCCAUGUUUUCCCCACUACAAAAUCAUUCUUCCUUCUGUGAAUCCUGCAAUGUGCUGGUUGAUGUUAGCCCUGCAGGAAAUGGGCAGGAGUGACAGGCAUUGCAAUUCAGGGAACUAGUUUUAGUCAGAAGCAUUGGUGGCCAAAGUACAGGGUGUGUGAACUUGGUGCCCGUUCUGCGUUACUCUUGGAUCCUUUCAGCUACGGGUUAUGCACUGCAAGCGGGUUUUGCGCUGUUUUGGGACAGCGUGCGCCCUUUCAAAGGAGUCCUUUUUGUCGCCUGAUGUUGUAAAGUCUGUGGACAAAUGCAGGCAUCCUUUUUUAUCCCCCCUGCGAUUGUAAGGUUUGCAGACUGGAGCAGCACUGAUGAAAUGAUGGAGUGAAUCUGUAGAGCAGUUGGCAGGCCUUUCUUGCUGGUGUCAUCCCACAAAGUUUUUUAUGGUCCCAUGGGUGGCCAUCAGAAGUGUGUCCUGGGAUGGCAUCCCUCAUUGGGACGAGCUGGAGAUUGACCGGGGCCAGCGGCAGAAACCGGCACGUGACGGGCGGG